rnacentral:rRNA from 1 species
GCCAAUGGCACUGCCCGGUAGCUAAAUGCGGAAGAGAUAAGUGCUGAAAGCAUCUAAGCACGAAACUUGCCCCGAGAUGAGUUCUCCCUGACUCCUUGAGAGUCCUGAAGGAACGUUGAAGACGACGACGUUGAUAGGCCGGGUGUGUAAGCGCAGCGAUGCGUUGAGCUAACCGGUACUAAUGAACCGUGAGGCUUAACCUUAC